rnacentral:rRNA from 1 species
GUGGGGAAUAUUGGACAAUGGGCGAAAGCCUGAUCCAGCCAUGCCGCGUGUGUGAAGAAGGUCUUCGGAUUGUAAAGCACUUUAAGUUGGGAGGAAGGGCAGUAAGUUAAUACCUUGCUGUUUUGACGUUACCAACAGAAUAAGCACCGGCUAACUUCGUGCCAGCAGCCGCGGUAAUACGUAGGGUGCAAGCGUUAAUCGGAAUUACUGGGCGUAAAGCGCGCGUAAGUGGUUUUGUAAGUUGGAGGUGAAAUCCCCGGGCUCAACCUGGGAACUGCCUCCAAAACUGCAUGACUAGAGUACGGUAGAGGGUAGUGGAAUUUCCUGUGUAGCGGUGAAAUGCGUAGAUAUAGGAAGGAACACCAGUGGCGAAGGCGACUACCUGGACUGAUACUGACACUGAGGUGCGAAAGCGUGGGGAGCAAACAGGAUUAGAAACCCUGGUAGUCC